rnacentral:rRNA from 1 species
UCAGAUAGGCGAGCGAGGCAUGGCUUGCAGGAUCAGCUCUCGGCUUGCUAUACGUGCCUCCAAGAGGAGGACAAUGCGGAACACAUCUUGGUCCAGUGCGUGUAUGCUAGGGAGGUGUGGCAUAUCAUGUUUGACACUUUGGGUCUGCAGGCAACCAUCCCGGACGCGCAUGAUCACCUCUUGGAUUGGUGGCUGACGCAGAGAGCAACAGGGAGUACGGUCUCUAAGAGGGGUUUCGACACGGUCGUUAUUGCGGUCAUUUGGGCUCUUUGGAAACAACGAAACGCGAGAGUCUUCCACAGAACCAACCAGCAGUUGAUUGGGCCAGAUCUGGCUAUGGCUAUUAUUAGGGAGUUGAAGGAGUGGAAGGAGGCAGGCCUUGGGGAGGAGGUUUUCGAAGUUUUUGUGAGAGAGUAG